CUCUAGUCUGUAUUCAUUUACAAACAUAGCAAACCAGAAGAGUUAAAAAUUCAGUAUAAUGCAUAUCUAAUAUUUUACAACUAUAGCACUGGGUUCAGACUUCAGAAUGUAAACAAAGGGUUUGUUUACUUUACAUACUUUACAUGGCCUUUAAAUUAAUGAAACCUUUUUGGGCUGCUAUAAACACCAAUGUUUCUGACAGAGUUGUACAGGCAAUACUGUAAACAGAAACAAUAUAUUGUAUCAUCAAACAAUUCUAUCAAACGAAUUGACAAGUUGCAAAAGAAUCCAAAUGCUGUUUAAUUGUUACAUUCACACCAUGAUGAUUCAUACAUUUACAGUUCAAUUAAAAAUCCCAAAUCUUGUAUAAAUACAGUCCUAGCAUACGUGUAUGCUUGUAAGUCUUGUACGCUUGAAUUUCUUUUCAAUAAUAACACUCCAAUAUAGUAGUCAAGGACAUAUGCCAUCAUUCCCAUCAAUACUCACUCAGGGUGAACCAAGAGUAUGAAUUAUUACCAUAACGAAGGCUGUUAUUUUGCCCAAAUAAAUUCAAGUAUGGAUAAAUCAACUCCUUAAUCCCUUCACCACUUUUUCGGACGAAAAGCAACAAAAAAUUCGUCAAAAUAAGCAACUUUUCAGGCCAAAUAAAGCAAAAUAUAUCGUAUUCACUCAUACUGGCCGCGCUCGUGAACGCCACAGGGGGUAUGGGUUCAAUAACUU